GAUGAACGCUGGCGGCGUGCCUAAUACAUGCAAGUCGAGCGAACAGAUGAGGAGCUUGCUCCUCUGACGUUAGCGGCGGAAGGGUGAGUAACACGUGGAUAACCUACCUAUAAGACUGGGAUAACUUCGGGAAACCGGAGCUAAUACCGGAUAAUAUAUUGAACCGCAUGGUUCAAUAGUGAAAGACGGUUUUGCUGUCACUUAUAGAUGGAUCCGCGCCGCAUUAGCUAGUUGGUAAGGUAACGGCUUACCAAGGCAACGAUGCGUAGCCGACCUGUGAGGGUGAUCGGCCACACUGGAACUGAGACACGGUCCAGACUCCUACGGGAGGCAGCAGUAGGGAAUCUUCCGCAAUGGGCGAAAGCUUGACGGAGCAACGCCGCGUGAGUGAUGAAGGUCUUCGGAUCGUAAAACUCUGUUAUUAGGGAAGAACAAAUGUGUAAGUAACUAUGCACGUCUUGACGGUACCUAAUCAGAAAGCCACGGCUAACUACGUG
rnacentral:rRNA from 1 species